UCUGUCAGAGAGUCUCACACCUGCCAAUAUUACCUUCAUUAGUGUUAUUAUACGUAUCCUCUUAUUUCUCAUUUUAUCUCUCGUCUCACGUCUCUCUCUCCCCCUGAUCUACGGCUCCUUUUGUUGUCUCUCCGCCGUCGUCCUCCCACCCCCAACUUGGUCAUCGUCCGUUGUCUCUGAUUUAUGGCCAGCGGCAAUGAUCUCUGCCUGUGUGCAAAUCUGUGUGCUCCAUCUCCAUGGCAUCCUCCUCCCAUCCUCGACUUGGUUGCUGUUGCCAUCUUUGAUCUACGACCAGCAGCAAUAAUCUCCGGCCAUAGUAUAAGAAGGUCAGUGUUGCGUUGAUCUACUCGCCCCAUCUUUGAUCUGCUCAUCGUCCAGUGUAUUGUUCGUCUCCGAUCCCCUCCGAUCUGUUUGAGUGAAGCAUCAGCCGGCUAAGCCUCUUGCAAGCUCCAGGUCAUUAGCUAUUGGGGGAAUUGUUAGAGAGGUCAAGAGAAAGAUAGAUGAAAUAUAUUAUGGCUCUUUUAGCUUUGUUGGGAUGCAACCACGCGUGGAAGAAGUAGAAAAGCUUUUGGAUUUAGGUUCAGAUGAUGAAGUUUAAAUUGCAGGCAUUUGUGGUAUGGGCAGAUUAGGGAAGUCAUCUCUUGCUGCAGUUUUAUAUCUUAAGAUCUGAUCUCUCGCAAUUUUGAUGCCUUUUGUUUCCUUUCAAAUGUGAGUGAACGUUUAAAGCAUGGAGAUCUUUCUCUAUAAGAACUUCUUGAAUAUGAACAAUACCAGCACAAGAGAGAACAAUUGUUCUUUUAUUGGUUGCCCAGGUAUCCACCGCAGUGACUAAUCCCUUUGCUGCAGAAAGAACAACUUAUUGAAUAUGAAUAUAAUGAUCAAUGAAGAAGAAUAGCAAAAGUAGUACUGUUGAGUGGCUUGGCUUAGGCCUGCAUUAAAUGGUCUCCCACACUUUCUGUGGAACUAGGGUUCUUUUCGGCACAUAGGCCAGUGCUCCCUCUAAUCCUUACCCUAAUUAUAAAAUAAAAUUAAUCAAUCAAUCUUACAAUUUUAAAAGAAUGGUCAUUAAUAUUCUUAAACUUAUAAAAAAUAUUUGAAUUUUUAAUUUUACAUUUUACUAAAAUUAAUAAUCACCAUUUUCGAGAAUUGAUACAUGGUUCUACUCAUCAUAUAUAUUACCAUAUUAGCGAACUAGCGUCACAUAGAUGCUAAAUGCCAUGUAAUGGUUAUUGCUUCCUAGUUGGUCCUAAUACAAUAAAAACUAAAGUUGCAUUUAUUUUCGGGCAUCAUAAUAAGGUAAUGGAUAAAACUAACAGUGAGAAACGUGCUAUCAAAUUGACCCAAACAUUGUCACCGAUAUCUAUCUUUCUAGAUCAGUCUAGUUUACAAUUGUCCCAGACAUCCUGAGAAAUCAUAGGGCAUUUUAAGUGCUUUGGUCCAGAUAAUAAUAUCAAGACAAUAGGAACUUUCGAAUAUUUUGUUAGCUUUAGUUUAAGCCUUAUUGUCAUCAAUUGAGAUUUAAGUGACAAUUUUUUCUUUUUUUCUUUUGCCUGCUUUCAUAUAAUAUAUAUUUGUAUAUCCAAAUAUUUUCAAUGUGUCAGUCUUUGAAUUUGGUAUUUGUAAAGUUGUGAUUUUACAUUCAUCAAUAUAUUCAAGUUUAAAUUUAGAGCUACAAUGUAUUUUUAUAUUCUCAUACAAUUUAUUUUUAUAUAGCAUAAUGAGUAAUGAUAAGUCGAAAGCUUCAUGGCACUUGAGAAAUAUUAGAAUAUUUAUUGACAGAUGUUUAGAUCAAGCAUAGAAAUCGCAAAGAAAUGGUAGUAUCUUUUAUUAAAGCAGGAUGACAAAAUAUAAUUUCUGGCUUCAAUGAGAAGAUUGGAAAAAAAUAUGGCAAGUAGCAAUUCAAGAACCAAUGGGAUAAUAUGAGAAUAGUGGCUGCUUUGGUAUAACUUGGUUUCAAACGAGAUAGGAUUAGGAUGGGAUUAUGCAAAGAAUAUGCUGGAUGCUCCAUAUGGAUGAGAUUAUGUAAAAAAACUGUCACUUAAAUCUCAGGUGGGAGAAAAAGAUAUUGGUAUGAUGUUAUUAUUAUGUGAGAAGAUGUAUUUAUUAUAUUUAUAUGUGUAUUAUGUAAUAUUAUUGGUAAUGUAUGUGCAAGAAAAUCUAUCAUAUGAAAAAUUUAGAAAUAAAGGACUACUUUUUACCUAUGAAUUAACUAAAUUGUUUCAAGGUACGGCCAAUGGACUUGGAGCAUGGGCACCUUUGAGUGGAGUUUUGCCUAAUUUUUAUAAUAGGAAUGAACGUGAGGACGAAGGUGUAUGUUGCUCAAGUAUGGCAAAUGAGGGUAUUGAUUUAGAAGAAAGUUUAGGAGAUAGUGAUAAGAUUUUACAAACUAUUACUAGUAUAAGCAGUGAAUUCAAUAGAAUAGUUUUGAAUACUACUCAAAGAACUUUGAGUAGAGGCAAUGGUAAGAGAAAGAGGGGUGAAAGUAGUAGUGAUCGCUCUCGCAAGUGUACGAAAUCACGGUAAUAAAUUAUCCGGAGUAUUUCAGGUGUCGAACUCAUAGGGAAGUUGUACUUUUACUAAUUUAAAUAAUUAAUAGUUUAAGAAAAAUAGAUAAAAUGAAUAAUUUGAUUAAAAUAUAAUAAAAAUAAAUUAAUAAAAUAAUGAUGAUGAAAACACAAUUACUUGAAGCAUUGGGGUUUAAAAUUCACCUUAUAGAUUGUUAAUUUCUAUCCUCUGAGUUGACUCUGAUUAAUUAUAGUAACAACUAUUCCUAAAAUGUCCUAAUAUUCUCCUGAAUUAUUAGUCCCUUUUUAAUUAGCGUUGAAUUCGUUCUCACGAUACUCAAGCAACUAAUUAAACUGUGAAGCUAUAGUUUAAGUCAUCAUAAAUUUCUAUAACUAUUCCUAGCCUAGUUAUUUAUGUCUAUUUUUCUAGAUUUAGAUUCUUUCUUCACCUUCCAAUCCAUUGCGAUUAUCUAUAGAUUUGAUUAAAUGGUGGCUAGUCAUUAAGUCAAUAUGAAGAAUAAGAGAAAUGAAUAUAAUUGGAAAAAAUAAAAAUAUUAUAAAUAUAAAUAUAAAGAGUAAAAAAAAAUAGAAAUUAGCUUCCCAGUUGGGCUACAUCCCUAUCCCAACUAGGUAAUUUAAAAACACAUAAUAAAAUUAAAUAAUACUAUUUUAAAAUCCCCAAUCAUAAAAAAAGAUCACAAAGAAAAUUAAAAAGCAGAAAAGAAAUAAUUAUAAUUUGUAAAACUCUUCAAUGAUUUCACUUUUAGCCUUUAAAAUGCUUCUAUGAGUUUUUAAUAUCUCAGAGAAAAUUUUUGAGGUACUUAGAUAAAUGAUUGGAUUUCUUCUCUCUUGAUGGAGGGGAGUAUUUAUAGUUAAAGUGGAGAUUCUUUCUCUUAUUUCUUAUCGAUGUGAGAUUCUAAUAUAUAUUUAUAUAUGAAUAUAAAUGAUGUCCAGUGUAUCAUCUCCCAUGAUCUUUUGCCUCUCUCUCUCUCCCCCCCCCCCAUAUGUGUUUGCUCCCUCGUGCAGCAGCUGUUCCAUCACUAUAUAUAUAUAUAUAUAUAUUGUGAACACCGUAUUUUUUCCGGGCAUUUUUUUAAAAUAAUAAUAAAUAACUCAAAAAAAAUAUAAAAAAACAAAAAUAAAAUUUAAUCUUUUUUUAGGAUUAUAUUUCUAAAAAAAUAUAAUUUUAACAAAAUCAAAAAAAAUCUUGCUUAAAUCUUUAAAAAUCUCUCUCAAAUUACCCCAACCAUUUAAAGAUAGUGGGAAUUAAUUUUUUAAGACCCAACUAUAUUCAAAUUUCUCUCCUUGAAUUUUGCUGUUUUUUUAAAAAAAUAAAUAAUAUAUUCUUAAUCUAAUUUCAAAGAAAAUAAUAAUAAAAAUUAAUAAAAAAAAUUAAUUAAUUAAAGGCUGGGGUGAGAUGUUGUAAUUUCAUCACAGCCAAAAAAAGCCUUAAACCAACGUGCACAGAGAACGCGUGAACAGCAACCAGAGUCACAGAGGCAGAAAGAUUAAAACGAAAAUGCGAAGCAAAGAAAAAGGAGAAGUACUGGUCACGUGGAACAAGUUAGAGACGAGAGAGAGCUUUCGGCCAUACAGCCAAAAAACGCAGAAAGGAGAACCAGAAACACACGCACAGCAGAAGGCAAUACCCUGAAAGCAAGCUGUGAUCACAGAAAAAACACAGAAAUGCAGAAAGAGAUUAGACGCAUGCAUGCACAGCAAAACAGAGCAGAAGGAGCAGCAAGCAACCAACAUUCGUACAUACACUUUCGGCCAGCAGAAAAAGAAACAGAACGAGAAAACACAGGACGCAUGCAAGUGGAAGCAUAAAAAGAAAGCAGAAAACCGAGGAAAGAGGAGGAGGAAAACUGGAGGAGGGAGAGACGGAGAACACGCGAAGAACUGGGGAGAGGGACCGAGUGAGAUAUACAUGAGAAAAUAGAGACGGAGGGAAGGAGGAAGAAAAUAGCACGAGAAGCUCGGACAGAGACAGAGAUCAUGAGAAGUAGAGACACGAGAGAAGGACAGAAAACUGGAGAGGAGACGGACGGAAAAUAGAAGAAAAAACAGAGCACAGGAGGAGGGAAGGAAAGUGUAGAAAAAUAGAAAACAAGAGCACCGAAGAGGAAUAAAAGAAGCAUAAAAAGGGAGGAGGAGCAGAUGAAAAAGGAUAGACACUGUUCUCUGCACCAGUCACGAGAAGGAGGAUUGAGCAGAGUAAAGAAAGCUACGAGGACAGAUCCAAAAACGGAGGAUAAGCAUAGCAGAGAAAAGAGAGGGAAGAAAUGACAGAAAAAGAGAAGAAACGAAGGAGAGAGCAUGAGAACGAAGAAGAAAAACCAGGGACGUCAAAACAGAGAAAGAGAAGACUUGAAAGAGACAGAGAGAGAGAGACUGAGAGAGGAGAAAACUGAAGCAAAAACAGAGUACAACAAAUAAGGAAAUAGAGCACCGAGAAAGAGGGAGGAGAGACUUAAAAAAAACAGAGACCGAGCAAAAAAGGAGAGCACAGAGGGAGGAGAAGUUCGAGAGAGACAGAAAAGGAGAGCAAGAGAGCACGGAGAAGAGAAGCUGAACGAGAGAGAACACGGAGAAAGAAAAAAAAUGAGAGAGAGACCAGAAGCUGGAGGAGAAUGCAAAGAAAGAAACAGAGACUGGAAACUGUGAACAAGAGAGCGAGAAGAAAAAAAACAAAUGCAUGCAUGCACACUCACACGAGUUCGGGAUGAAAACAGAGCACAGGUUCUGGAUGAAAAUGAGUGAGCUAGAAAUGCAGAAACAGGAGCAUGCAUAUGCACGUGGGUAUUGAACGAGAUCAUCAUCUUCUUCCCUCAGUUGCGCGGGUUCGUCUGCCAGUAAUGUAUAGGUUCUGAUUUGGUCCAUCAGUUGGAGGAAGUGAUAUGGCUUCGUAGCACAUCUUGAAGGAGCUCAAGGAAUUGCAGAAAGAUCCACCGACUUCAUUCAGGUUUUGGUACAGGUUUUUCAUAACUUUAUACAGCCUUACAUUAUAUCAUUUCCUAGCCUCAAUAUAUGCAUAGCUUGUUAUAAGAUACUGUAGUUGAAGCUGAUGGAUAUAUAUAAUUAAAACUUAGACAUACUUUUAUAAAUUAGAUUCUGUUAA